CUUUGGCGUUGGGAUGGCUAAACCUCCCAUCUCCCUUUAGGCAGAAGGGGAGAAGGGGAAACAAGUGUCCUCAGAAGCACCUUGCAGGGGGUGGAGGGGCUGAGCCCACAGUGGGGCAGCACCACGUCAGGUGCCCCGGCCCUCAACCCCAGUUCCUUUUCUCCUCUCUGGACCUGCCAUCUACUGGCCCCGAGGAGGUUUCACGUGAUUUGGUGUCAAGGGUCUGUGCUUGGACAUGUGAGGCCCAGGAAAAGCAGCCAUCGUGGUGGAAUCAGCUUCCAUAUGAGUGUCUAUGGAGCAGAGGAACCCUUGCAUCUUCUGCAGAGUUGCACUUGAGUUACCACUUGGAACAAGGCAGCCAUGGAUCUGCGUUGGGUGAGGCAGGAAGUGGGUGGAUUUGGUGCUGGGCGGUGCUGGGGGUGCGGGAGGGUCAGGAGUGGCCAGGGCAGAACGUGUGAGUGGAGAAGCAGCCCCUCCAACGAACGCGUUUUCUGCGAGAAAGGCUGCAGGAGGGCUGUCUUGGGAAAUUACUGCUCCCACAUGUUCUUCUUUACCUUACCCCCCAGCACCUCCCCACUAGCUAUUCAAGGGUUGGGAUUUUUAAAAGGAAAACACAAACCAAUAACCCAAUGUGAAUUUUCCAGCUUUAAAGGGUGGAGAACACCCUAC